GACGUAGGGCGCGAGCGUUGUCCGGAUUUAUUGGGCGUAAAGAGCUCGUAGGCGGCUUGUUGCGUCGACUGUGAAAACCCGCGGCUUAACUGCGGGCUUGCAGUUGAUACGGGCAGGCUAGAGUUCGGUAGGGGAGACUGGAAUUCCUGGUGUAGCGGUGAAAUGCGCAGAUAUCAGGAGGAACACCGGUGGCGAAGGCGGGUCCCUGGGCCGAUACUGACGCUGAGGAGCGAAAGCGUGGGGAGCGAACAGG
rnacentral:rRNA from 1 species